GCCAUUUCCAAGUCGGCGAGUGGAAGCAGUGCAGCAUCUUAGGUACUGUAUCCUAAAAGAUAUUUACACAAUCUUUUCAUGAUGUUAUUCUACGUAUUGAUGGGACUUUUUUCAGCGUAUUGCUUACUUCUAGCCCAGGACCAGGACAUAUUUGUUCAAGUUCCAGUACUGACCUCCGGCAAUCUUUGUCGAUAUCGCGAUAUAAACGUUUCAGACAACGGAUCAUACCCAUCCGAGUGGCCUUGCGAGCUCGUAACCUGUAACCUAAGUGCUCAUGAAGUCAUAAUAAGAGGGUGUCCAGCUCCGCCCAAUGCCAAAGAUAGAUGGGAACUGAAGAGGGAAGAUAAAUGGCCCUAUUGUUGCAACAGAACUCGCCAUUAAUUGCUCAGAAACAGCGAUUUCCGUGCGAAUAUGGGCUUAAUAAUAAUGUUCAACAACAAUGUUUAUUAUUAAACAUUAUUA
rnacentral:lncRNA from 1 species